AAAAAAGAAAAAUGUAUGGUGCAAAUCUUCUCCCAAAACUCCUCUCCGACGACCUCCCAGGUCUCCGACGAGCUCACUCCAUAGAUCUCCGACCCAGGAUCCUCCGACUAACGACGCCCCUGUGCCCUGGCUCCGCCGCCCCGUCCGAGCGACGCCGCCGUCAUCCGGCCAGCCACCGCUGGCCUCCGAUCCACACGCCACAGCCAAAUCGAACACGUCCGGCUCUUCAACUGCGGGAUUGGACAUCAGUCCUCCGCGUCCAAGUCCGGUGGAUUGCCGCCGCUGUCCUCAACGGCGGGAUCGGGCCCCCAGCCUCAACAACGGGGUCGUAGUCAGCGGCCACCGCGAUCCUCGCCUGCGGGAUCGGACGCCACUGCCGCAAGGUUCUUUGAACCUUGAUGCAGGACCCGAGAAGGAGGAAGUGUGACACUUCGAGUAUAGAUGGCAUACCUGUCAAAAAGGCCAUGUCUGAUGAUAACAUCUGCAAGAUUGGAGUUAGCCUUGCCCACAAGUUGAAAGAGCUUCUUUUUUUUUUCCAUUGUGAAGUCCGCAGUCUUCUCCUUUUAUCCAUGUUGUCAUGGAUGGCUUCGUAACCUAAUUGCCAUCACGUGAUAAUAUAGUGCAUGUUCAGUGUUACAAAAGUGGAUUAAGCGCUAAGCACUUUAGCCGCCAUUAUUCUGUCUGGGCAGCUACUAACAUAAGAGGCCAGGGAGACUAUCAUGGAUGUCGUAGCAAGGAGCUGAACUGGGGAACUUCUUUGUUCGCCAGUGUUGGUGCACACAAGUCUGAAAUCUGUAUCCUCGUUGUAAUUUUGCAUUGUUCAAAUAGUGAGUGGAUAUAGCUGUCAGAUUUUGGAGGCAUCAUGUAAAGCUGGUAAACUUUUGGUGUUGAUGAAUUGAUACUUUGGAAAUUUUCUUUUGUCGAUGGUAAAGCUGCUAUAUUGAAACUUUGUUAUCACUUAA